GACGAACGCUGGCGGCGUGCUUAACACAUGCAAGUCGAACGGAGUGGCGAACGGGUGAGUAACACGUGGGUGACCUGCCCUGCACUUCGGGAUAAGCCCGGGAAACUGGGUCUAAUACCGGAUAGUGUGGGAUGGGCCCGCGGCCUAUCGGCUUGUUGGUGGGGUAAUGGCCUACCAAGGGGGCGCCGGGUAGCCGGCCUGGGAGGGUGGACGGGCACAAUGGGCCUGAGAGACGGCCCAGACGCCAACGGGGGGCAGUAGUGGGGAAUAUUGCACAAUGGGCGGAAGCCUGAUGCAGCGGCGCCGCGGGGGGGAUGACGGUCUUGGGGUUGUAAACUCCUUUCACCAUCGACGCGGUAGAUGGAGAAGAAGCACCGGCUAACUACGUGCCAGCCGCCGCGGUAAUUC
rnacentral:rRNA from 1 species